rnacentral:lncRNA from 1 species
AUGCAAAAAAAAUCCCAAAAAAAUCAGAAAAAAAUCCCGAAAAAUCAGAAAAAAAUCCCGAAAAAUCAGAAGAAAAUCCUACAACCUGGGGGAUCCCAAACGAAGCGGGUCAGAGUUUGUGGGGUGCCAAGAGCAGAAAAUCCCCCCAAAAAUCGGAAUAAAGGGGCAAAAUCCCCCCUUUGGGAUGGCGAAAAAUCCCGAAAAAAUCAGAAAAAAAUCCCGAAAAAUCAGAAAAAAAUCCCAAAAAAUCAGAAAACAAUCCUACAACCUGGGGGAUCCCAAAUGAAGCGGGUCAGAGUUUUUGGGGUGCAGGAGUGGGGCAGGAGCAGGAAAUCCACCCCAAAAAUCAGAAUAAAGGGGCAAAAUCCCCCCUUUGGGAUGGCGAAAAAUCCCAAAAAAAAUCAGAAAAAAAUCCCAAAAAUUGGGGAAAUCCCAAGUAAAGAGGGUCAGACUUUGUGGGGUGCCAAGAGCAGAAAAUCCCCCCCAAAAAUCAGAAUAAAGGGGCGAAAUCCCCCCUUUGGGAUGACGAAAAAUCAAAAAAAUUCAGAAAAAAAUCCCGAAAAAUCAGAAAAAAAUCCUAAAACCUGGGGGAAAUCCCAAGUGAAGAGGGUCAGACUUUGUGGGGUGCAGGAGUGGAGCACAGAGCAGGAAAUCCACCCCAAAAAUCGGAAUAAAGGGGCAAAAUCCCCCCUUUGGGACGGCGAAAAAUCCCGAAAAAAUCAGAAAAAAAUCCCAAUAAUUGGAGGAAAUCCCCACUAAAGGGGCUCAGAUUUUGGGGGUUCACAGGGUGCUGGAGUGGAGCAAGGACCUCCCCAAAAAUUGGAAUAAAGGGGCAAAAUCCCCACUUUGGGAUGGCAAAAAAUCCCAAAAAAAUCAGAAAAAAUCCCAAAAAAUCAGAAAAAAAAUACUGAAAACUGAGGGAAAUCCCAAGUAAAGAGGGUCAGAGUUUGUGGGGUGCCAAGAGCAGAAAAUCCCCCCAAAAAUCGGAAUAAAGGGGCAAAUCCCCCCUUUGGGAUGGCGAAAAAUCCCAAAAAAAAUCAGAAAAAAAUCCCGAAAAAUCAGAAAACAAUCCUACAACCUGGGGAAUCCCAAAUGAAGCGGGUCAGAGUUUUUGGGGUGCCAGGAGUGGGGCAGGGAGCAGGAAAUCCACCCCAAAAAUCAGAAUAAAGGGGCAAAAUCCCCCCUCUGGGAUGGUGAAAAAUCCCAAAAAAAUGAGAAAAAAAUCCCGAAAAAUCAGAAAAAAAUCCUAAAAACUGGGGGAAAUCCCAAAUAAAGAGGCUCAGAUUUUGGGGGUUCACAGGGUGCUGGAGUGGAGCAAGGACCUCCCCAAAAAUCAGAAUAAAGGGGCAAAAUCCCCCCUUUGGGAUGGUGAAAAAUCAAAAAAAAAUCAGAAAAAAAUCCCGAAAAAAUCAGAAAAAAAUCCCGAAAAAUCAGAAAAAAAAUCCCGAAAAAUCCGAAAAAAAUCCCGAAAAAUCAGAAAAAAUCCUACAACCUGGGGGGAUCCCAAAUGAAGGGGUCAGAGUUUUUGGGGUGCAGGAGUGGGCAGGAGCAGCAAUCCCGGCUCAGUCCCGCCGCAGGUUCUUCAGCCGCUCCUCCAGGUCGGCGUCGGCGUCGGCCAAAGCGGCCGCGGCGGCUUCGGCACCUCCGCGACCCUCCCCGGCAGCCAGAGAGCCCCCGGGGGCCGGCAGCGCUGCGGGACACACAGGGGACACUCAAAAACCCCAAAUAAUCCUACACAGGUUAUCCCAAAUAACCCCACACAGGUUAUCCCAAAUAAUCCUACACAGGUCACCCCAAAACCCCAAACAAUCCCAUACAGCUGAGCCCCAAAACCCCAAACAAUCCCAUACAGGUCAGCCCCAAAAACCCAAAUAAUCCUACACACGUUAUCCCAAAAACCCAAAUAAUCCCACACAGGUUAUCCCAAAAAACCCAAAUAACCCCACCCAGAUUAACCCCAAAUAAUCACACACAGGUUAUCCCAAAUAAUCCUACCCAGGUUAUCCCAAAUAAUCCAACCCAGGUUAUCCCAAAUAAUCCUACACAGGUUAUCCCAAAUAAUCCUAUACACGUUAUCCCAAAUAAUCCCACCCAGGUUAUCCCAAAACCCCAAAUAAUCCCACAUAGGUUAUCCCAAAUAAUCCCACACAGGUUACCCCAAAUAAUCCUACACAGGUUAUCCCAAAUAAUCCUACACAGGUUAUCCCAAAACUCAAAAAAAUCCCACCCAGGUUAUCCCAAAUAAUCCAACCCAGAUUAACCCCAAAUAAUCCCACACAGGUUACCCCAAAACCCCAAACAAUCCCAUACAGGUCACCCCAAAAACCAAAAAAACCCAAAUAAUCCCACCCAGAUUAACCCCAAAUAAUCCUACAUAGGUUAUCCCAAAUAAUCCCACCCAGGUUAUCCCAAAUAAUCCUACACAGGUUAUCCCAAACAAUCCCACACAGGUUAUCCCACAUAAUCCCACCCAGGUUAUCCCAAAUAAUCCUACACAGGUUAUCCCAAAUAAUCCCCCCCAGGUUAUCCCAAAUAAUCCCACCCAGGUUAUCCCAAAUAAUCCUACACAGGUUAUCCCAAAACCCCAAAUAACCCCACCCAGGUUAUCUCAAAUAACCCCACACAGGUUAUCCCAAAAACCCAAAUAAUCCCAUAUAGGUUAUCCCAAAUAAUCCCACCCAGGUUAUCCCAAAUAAUCCUACACAGGUUAUCCCAAAUAAUCCCACCCAGGUUAUCCCAAAUAAUCCUACACAGGUUAUCCCAAAUAAUCCCACACAGGUUAUCCCAAAUAAUCCUACACAGGUUAUCCCAAAUAAUCCCACACAGGUUAUCCCAAAAACCCAAAUAAUCCCACCCAGGUUAUCCCAAAAAAAACAAAUAAUCCCACCCAGGUUAUCCCAAAAAAUCCAACCCAGGUUAUCCCAAAUAAUCCUACACAGGUUAUCCCAAAAACCCAAACAAUCCCACACACAUAAACCCAAAAACCCACCCAGAUUAACCCCAAACCCCAAAAACUCACCCAAUUAUCCCAAAU